rnacentral:rRNA from 1 species
AUAUUGGACAAUGGGGGCAACUCUGAUCCAGCCAUGCCGCGUGUGUGAAGAAGGUCUUAGGAUUGUAAAGCACUUUAAGUUGGGAGGAAGGGAUUUAGGUUAAUACCCUGUAGUUUUGACGUUACAAACAGAGUAAGCACCGGCUAACUCUGUGGCAGCAGCCGCGGUAAUACAGAGGGGGCAAGCGUUAAUCGGAAUUACUGGGCGUAAAGCGAGCGUAGGUGGUUCGUUAAGAGUGUUGUGAAAUCCCCGGGCUUAACCUGUGAACUGCUUUCAUAACUGCUGAGCUAGAGUACGGUAGAGGGUAGUGGAAUUGCCUGUGUAGCGGUGAAAUGCGUAGAUAUAGGAAGGAACACCAGUGGCGAAGGCGACUACCUGGACUGAUACUGACACUAAGGUGCGAAAGCGUGGGGAGCAAAC